CGGACAAAACUACCAGUCCCAUUCUAAAACCGCUAUUACCAAUCCAUUUCCACUAUUUCCAAUUUACAGCUCUCCUACGUGUGUUUACAACUUUAGACUGAUCCAAGCUUUCGUGGAAUCAAGAAACACUUCUUCGCUAAUAGCAGUUUCCAUCUCCUUUUUAUCGUCUUCUAUACCUUUCCGAAAGCAGUAAGAGGUGUUUCGCUCGCUUAGAUUUCGCUUUCAAAACUGUCUUUCUCUGCGCGCAGCCCUGCUUCUCCUUUGGUUGAAAACUUGAAGAGUUUUUUAUACUUUGGAUUGAGAAUGGCGAGGACGGGCAACCAUAACGUACAAGCCAAGCUGGUGGGUAUUUCUUGGGGACAUGGGAGCCGGAAAAACAAGUUUGGUGUUGAGAUUUGUCAAAGGCCAAUUUUCUGAGUACCAGGAAUCAACAAUUGGAGCGGCCUUCUUCACACAGGUCCUGUCACUAAAUGAGGCCACUAUUAAAUUUGAUAUAUGGGAUACAGCAGGACAAGAGAGAUAUCAUAGUUUGGCUCCUAUGUACUAUCGUGGUGCAGCAGCAGCUGUUGUGGUUUAUGACAUUACAAGCAUGGAUUCAUUUGUACGAGCCAAAAAGUGGGUUCAGGAAUUGCAAAGACAAGGAAAUCCAAAUUUGAUAAUGUUCUUGGCUGCCAACAAGGCUGACUUGGAAGAGAAGAGGAAAGUGCCAGCUGAGGAUGGUGAUCAGUAUGCUAAAGAAAAUGGCAUGGCUUUUGUUGAAACAUCUGCAAAAACUGCACAGAAUGUGAACGAGCUCUUCUAUGAGAUAGGGAAAAAAAUUCAAGAAAUAAGAAUCCGGUGGGCAAGGUCACUUAUGGCUUCAAAACAACUUCUUAAUUGGAUACUUUAUGUCCAAUGGUGGCUUCAUCCUUUGGUGACAACUUUUUUUUAAUAUGGCCCUGCCAUUUAUCCAUCAAAGAGACUGGCGAAAGCUAACCCUUCACGUACAACUGGGAUGAAGUUACAGGGCAGGUCACAAGAAAGUGGAGGAAGACUGUUUUGCUGCUCUGCAUGAUGCCCGUACUUCCUCUGCAACUCUCCCAUCUUAUAGCAGGUUUUCCUUGAUCACUUUUACGGACAUCAUCACUUCAAUCAGAUGGAAAUUCAUUGUGGCUAAUCAAAGGUCAAGACUGAUAUGCAAGCUUCACAAACAUGCUGUAAGAACAUUUGUUGUGUGUACAUUUUAAGAUCUCAUUAGAAAACAAUUUGCAACACUUUCAGACAUCUUGCAUAACUCUGUAUGGGCGAGACAAUGAUUAUUGAAUACAAAGUGAAUAAACACUGAA